AUCAGAUCAAGAAUUAAAACCACAUUAUUUCAAGUCUCAACAUUCAAUAAUUUCCCCAUAUGCUACCGCAGUAAUUACUAGUUUCCUCCUCCCCAGAAUCCAACUCAUCACUACUUGAUUCAUCAGUAUCCUCAAAUCCAAAUUCGCUUAAAGAUUGUUUAUCAUCCGAGCAAUAAUCAUCAACUUGUGGUAACUCGAGAUCCAAGGAAAUAGAUUCGUCUGCUGAAUAGUUCUCCUCUCCUAUUUCAUCAUUUCGUUUUUCACUUGUACUUGUUGAAUCAUCAAGGAUGGAGUAAGCACUUCGGUUACUUGGGUCACCAUAUAGAGCGACAUGUCGGUAGUAGAGUUCAAGUUCCUUUUCAGCAAUCGCAAUGAAACGUCUCACAGACUCUAGCGACUGCUCAUAUUUGGAUUUUUCCAAUGCCUUCUUCUUUGACAGUGUAUCAAUAGGAGACAUAAUUUCGGGUUGCACAUAAUCCCUUCCUCUGUAAAAAACUAUUGUAUCAUCUGCAAUUAUCUGAAUUGGGAUGCCGCCACUCAGUCUUGCAAUUUCAUCGGCAUAUUCUUGGACUUGACCAGGUUUGCAUAUGACUUUGACUGUUUCAUGUUUUUUCCAAUGUAAAUGCAUAUUAAGAAUAACACCACCAAAGACUCCCCUUCUGCCAAUUGGCACAUAAUUAGACCUUUUUUGCCCCAUCUUUUUUAUAUAGAAUCGUUCUUCGCCAGUGAGGAAGUGUGGCUUAACCUCAGGACCUUGAACUUUGGUAACCUCAUAUCGCUUUAGUCUCUCAAUCAACAGCGCUUCUUUGACUUUUGCAUUUUCUAUCUUCUGCUUAAUUCUUUCUUCAGCAGUGUCAAACUUCUGCUUCUUCUUCUUCCCCUUUAGACCAAGCCUUCUUGGAUCCCUCUUAUUUGCAGCAUUUCUCUUCUUCUUCUCUCUCUUCCUUUGCAGCUUCAGCCUCUUCUUUGUCUUCCAUUUUUCUUUCUUUGGUGCUUCCACUUCAUGUGUCUCAAACUUGGGUUUCCCAUCUUUUGUUAUAACAAAAUUCACACUUCCAUGACUAAAGUUCCUCAAGUCCCAACAUGAGCCUUGUCGGGUUAAGCUAUUUUGAGGCACAAACCUUGACAAGUGCAAAAAGCUUUCUCGGUUUCCAAGAAUUGGCGUGUACGAGGUAGAGGAAGAGGAUAGAGGCCUGCGAUGUGAAAGUAACAGAAGUCUUCGAAAACUUCUAAAUAGAGGAAUAGCCAUAUAAUGUUGUUGUUUGCCUUCAACGGGGCUGGCGAGCUACUUCACCGUGAAGACUCUCGAAAUUAGGCUAUUUAUCAUAUAUUUUUAUGGAUAAAUAAUGGGUUGAGUGAUGAAUAAUAUGUGCAUCCAUCUUAUCCGGCACCAGUUUCAGCAAACUUAAUCCAUUUCGGAGUUAUGGUGGUG
rnacentral:misc_RNA from 1 species